rnacentral:rRNA from 1 species
AUUGAACGCUGGCGGCGUGCCUAACACAUGCAAGUCGAGCGGUAACAGGUGUAGCAAUACAUGCUGACGAGCGGCGAACGGGUGAGUAAUGCUUCGGAAUCUACCCAAUGGUGGGGAAUAACCAGCCGAAAGGUUGGCUAAUACCGCAUACGUCCCACGGGAGAAAGCAGGGGAUCGCAAGACCUUGCGCCAAUGGAUGAGCCGAAGUCGGAUUAGCUAGUUGGAGGGUAACGGCCUACCAAGGCGACGAUCCGUAGCUGGUCUGAGAGGACGACCAGCCACACUGGGACUGAGACACGGCCCAGACUCCUACGGGAGGCAGCAGUGGGGAAUAUUGGACAAUGGGGGAAACCCUGAUCCAGCGACGCCGCGUGUGUGAAGAAGGCCUGCGGGGUUGUAAAGCACUUUUAGUGGGGAUGAAAUGUUCAGGGUUAACACCUCUGG